GCAAGUCGAACGGUAGAAGGUCUUCGGACCUUUGAGAGUGGCGAACGGGUGAGUAACACGUAGGUAAUCUGCCUCUACGUUGGGGAUAGCCCAUGGAAACAUGGAGUAAUACCGAAUAAGGUCUUUUCUGCUGAGGCGGGGAAGAAGAAAGGUGCUACGGCACCGCGUGGAGAUGAGCCUGCGGCUCAUUAGCUAGUUGGUAGGGUAAAGGCCUACCAAGGCAACGAUGAGUAGCCGGCCUGAGAGGGUGACC
rnacentral:rRNA from 1 species